rnacentral:ncRNA from 1 species
CUGAUGGGAAACAAGGGCGUAUGGUGGAUGCCUUGGCUUAAGAAGGCGAUGAAGGACGCAGCGUGGCGGCGAUACGCUCCGGGGAGGUGCCGAGCAACCUUUGAUCCGGAGGUCUCCGAAUGGGGAAACCCUUCCGUGUAAACCACGGAAGCCGUGUCUUACACAGAAUGUCUAAUUUCUAAUUAACCUAAUUCACCUAAUAAAAUUCCAAAUACCAAUACCAAAUAUCCAAACCGGACUUUGUGAUUGAGCAUUUCUUUACUUUGGGUUUUUAUUAGAAAUUAGAAUAAUUAGAUGAAUUAGGAAUUCCGCGUAGGACGCGGCGCGUACCCUGGGAAGUAAAACAUUUCAGUACCAGGAGGAGUAGAAACCAAUAAGUAUUCCGUCAGUAGCGGCGAGCGAACGCGGAGAAGCCCAAAC